rnacentral:rRNA from 1 species
UAGGGAAUCUUCGGCAAUGGGGGCAACCCUGACCGAGCAACGCCGCGUGAGUGAAGAAGGUCUUCGGAUCGUAAAGCUCUGUUGUAAGAGAAGAACGUGUGUGAGAGUGGAAAGUUCACACAGUGACGGUAACUUACCAGAAAGGGACGGCUAACUACGUGCCAU